rnacentral:rRNA from 1 species
UACGUAGGCAGCGAGCGUUGUUCGGAAUCACUGGGCUUAAAGCGUGUGUAGGCGGGCGGGCAAGUACCUUGUGAAAUCCCACGGCUCAACCGUGGAACGGCUGGGUAUACUGCCUGUCUUGAGCCAACUAGGGGCGAGCGGAACAGACGGUGGGAGCGGUGAAAUGCGUAGAUAUCGUCUGGAACGCCGAAGGUGAAAACAGCUCGCUGGGGUUGUGCUGACGCUGAGACACGAAAGCCAGGGGAGCGAACGGG